GACGAACGCUGGCGGCGUGCCUAACACAUGCAAGUCGAGCGGGGGGAGUACUUCGGUACAAACCUAGCGGCGGACGGGUGAGUAACACGUGGGUAACCUGCCUCAAAGUGGGGGAUAGCCUUCCGAAAGGAAGAUUAAUACCGCAUAACCCAUAGCUUCCGCAUGGAAGCAAUGGUAAAGAUUUAUCGCUUUGAGAUGGACCCGCGGCGCAUUAGCAAGUUGGUGAGGUAACGGCUCACCAAGGCCACGAUGCGUAGCCGACCUAAGAGGGUGAUCGGCCACAUUGGAACUGAGACACGGUCCAGACUCCUACGGGAGGCAGCAGUGGGGAAUAUUGCACAAUGGGCGAAAGCCUGAUGCAGCAACGCCGCGUGAGUGAUGAAGGCCUUCGGGUUGUAAAGCUCUGUCUUUUGGGACGAUAAUGACGGUACCAAAGGAGGAAGCCACGGCUAACUACGUGCCAGCCGCCGCCGUAAUAC
rnacentral:rRNA from 1 species